rnacentral:rRNA from 1 species
UACAGAGGUCCCGAGCGUUGUUCGGAUUCAUUGGGCGUAAAGGGUGCGUAGGCGGCGGGGCAAGUCUGAUGUGAAAUCCUGGGGCUCAACCUCAGAACUGCAUUGGAUACGGUUUGGCUAGAGACCGAUAGAGGAAGAUGGAAUUGUGCGUGUAGAGGUGAAAUUCGUAGAUAUGCACAAGAACACCGGUGGCGAAGGCGAUCUUCUGGAGCGGUACUGACGCUAAGGCACGAAAGCGUGGGGAGCAAACAGG